rnacentral:snRNA from 1 species
GUGCUUGUUUCUGCAGCACAUAUACUAAAAUUGGAAUGAUACAGAGAAGAUUACCAUGGCCCCUGCGCAAGGAUGAUGCAAAUUCAUGAAGCAUUCCAUAUAUUU